AGUUUUAAGUGAAGAGUUUGAUCCUGGCUCAGAGUGAACGCUGGCGGUAGGCCUAACACAUGCAAGUCGAACGGCAGCACAGGAGAGC
rnacentral:rRNA from 1 species